rnacentral:misc_RNA from 1 species
AGGGUCAAGAGGCAGACAAGUGAGCAUUGAGUGGCCUUUGCGAGGUCACCAACCCCCCCACUUUAUCAGGCUAAGGUCACAGAGAGCUCGCUGACCUUAUUAACACCUCUUGUACCUGCAACAUUAGCAUUUACCAUAAGAAAAAGAUGGAUGAAGCAUGUCCAAGGUUCAGAAGCUUCGAAACACUGGCAAGACAGUAGAUGGUGACACGUGUACACCCCCCACCCUACCCUCCCUCUACCCACGUGACGUCACUCCCUCUAGAAACAGUCAGACACUAAAAGGCGUGUUUUGGUCAUCCUGUUUCUUAUUGGACGAAAGAUAGAGUUUUAGUAUCCCAUCUUUCUCUUUUAGUAGCUUUGAGAAACAGUGAAGUGACAAACCUUCUCUCUCUCUCUCUCUCUCUCUCUCUCUCUCUCUCUCUCUGAAAACCACAAAAGUCACAGAUGCAGUACUCAAAGAACACUAAUCCUCACUACACUGCUUCACAAACCCCUACACUUCCCUUCCCUUCCCUGCGUUGCCUUCACUGCUCCGCCCAGCCAACCACCACAGCUCAGCCCAUCCAGCCAGCCAGCCAUCCCCUCACCACCGCUCCCAGCCUUGCCACGCCUCGGGAACACGUUGUCUCUGUGCCUCUCCCUCAGUCUGGCUCGGGCUUGGUGGGCUGAGACAAAGGAGGGUGUCAGGAUAGAGUAGCAAGCCUCCCCAGCACACCAGCCCGUCAAUGCCUCUCCAACAAACUGGCCCAUCCACGCCUCCCCAGCACAUCAGUCCCAUGACACCUCCCACGCCUCACCUCUGAGCUGCGAGAGAAGUGACUCCCAGUAGCCAAUGUCCAGGCCGGUGGUGGGGCCGGCCAGCUUCAUUUCAAUGUUACGCUGCAGCUGGUUCAGUUCGGCCACAGACUUGUUGACAAACACGCUGGACACGUCUGAGGCCACAGCAGCGUGGAUGCCCUGGCGGUGGUGAGCUGAGAGGUCGAUGGAGGCCACGUCCCGCUGUCUGAGGCGCCGCAGCUCAUCCUGCACGAUGGUGAUCAGGUCGUUCCAGUAGCUCUGGUUGAUGUCCUGCACAGGGAGAUGAUGAUGAUGGCUGGUGAUUACGGAGGACAAUGAAAAAAAGGUAAUCAAC